rnacentral:lncRNA from 1 species
AGUGGGAAACAUGUCGUCUUUGGGAGAGCAGCUCCGCUCCACAAAGCGUGGGUGUUGAAAUUCUCCAGAGGGCCGAGGAAGGGAUGGAUGCUGGACGGAUGGACACGCACGCACACACCCGGCCGUGCCUCCCACCUGCUGCCGGCCCAGCACGCGCCUCGCCCCACCUGCGUGCCCAUCUGGCGCCAGGACACCACACCUGGCGGGCCGCGUGCUUCCCGUGGCCCAGCCCCGCCAGAGGGUCCCCCCAAGGGAGGUCCGGACCCAAGGGCCCCGCUCUCCCCCGGGGGGCUGCCAGGACCACCCCCGAGGGGACACCCUGACCUGUCGGCAGGAAGCGUCAGGCGGGGCGUGGUGCCCAAGGCUCACAGGCGGCCUCCUGUGCGACCACCCCCAAGGCCCCCGCAGAGCCCCUGGGGGACCCCAACCUGCUGGGGCUGGGGGUUAACAAGCAGAUAGCGCCUCGGAAAGCACCCUAGCCAGUCCUCUGUCCGCGUGGCUCUCCUAUGACCUGGUAUGCGCCCAAGGGCCCCAAAAAUGGGUUCAAACAAAACUUGCCAACGGCUGCACAGCGGCCCCGCUCCAGCACCCCAAAGGGACACACAGCCCGAGCGCGCACGGAUGCUCGCAUGGACACGCCGCGGCCCCGCCACACGACAGGAGUGAUGCCCGGUCACAGGCCACCGCAUGGACCUGCCCGGGGCACGGGCCGGAGACAGGAGCCACACGGUGAGCGACGCCGUUUUCAUGAAACGCCCAGCAGAGGCAGAGCCGGGGUCAGACAGCAGACCUGGGGUCGCCAGGGAAGGGUCGGGUCUCUCUGGUGGGGGGAUGAGAAAAGCGUGCUUUCUGCGUGAGCCGGCGAGGUACAGGUGACCCCUGCACGUGUCUGUGAAAGCAGCGGCUGCGCUCACCCAGAGGCCACGUGGCGACCUGCCCUGAGCUGCGGCUUCCCAUCGGGACGCAGACCUUGGGUGCUGAGUGCCCCCCAGGGUGGACGCCAAGGCGGGGCUCCCCAUGGUCAGACGCACCCCCAACCUGCAGGGCGUGCCAACCUGCCACUGGCAGCACCGGGACCCCAAGCCCGGCCACAGCCUCCCUCGACGGCGCAGCCCCCACUGCAUCGGCCCAGUCCCGGCGCUGCCUGGGGAACCGUGAACCCACAGGACAUCCCUGCGGCUACGUGGUGGCUGCUGGGACUGAACCUGCACACGGGACACUCGUGCCACCCGUCGGGAAACGGCCACACCGCGAGUGCGGGGCUCGCCGUCAGAGGGCACUGGGCCCCCCACCCGCCCACGUUACCCCGGCAGGAGCCACAGACCCAGGGCUGCACAGUCACCAAGAGGCCGGCAGCCGGCGGCCUGUCCAGCCCCUGAGGGCGACAGAUGGACGCCGCAAGGUGGGAGGCCGGCAAAUCGCUGGAAUCUGGACACUAGGGCUGCGGGGUGCAGGGUGGGGGGCCCCGCCCGGGGGUGCUUGGGGUCAGCCUGGGCCAUCCUGACCCCCCCGCCGCCCCACUGGGCCUGCACCACACAGGUGCAGGAAGGACCUGCCCCCUUCCCGGGUCCCUGCCUCUGCCCACGGGUGCCCCAGUCUGUGUCCCCCUCCAAGCAAGUGACCCACGUUUUGUGAUAGACUAAAAAAA